rnacentral:tRNA from 1 species
CAUUAAGAAGCUAUGAAAUAAGCGUUAGCCUUUUAAGCUAAAGAAAGUGGGACAAAUUACCCACCUUAAUGG